UACGGGGGGGGCAAGCGUUGUUCGGAAUUACUGGGCGUAAAGCGCGUGUAGGCGGCCAGAAAAGUCCGCUGUGAAAACUCGAGGCUCAACUUCGAGCUGUCGGUGGAAACUUUCUGGCUAGAGUCCGGAAGAGGAGAAUGGAAUUCCUGGUGUAGCGGUGAAAUGCGCAGAUAUCAGGAAGAACACCCGUGGCGAAGGCGGUUCUCUGGGACGGUACUGACGCUGAGGCGCGAAAGCCAGGGGAGCAAACGGG
rnacentral:rRNA from 1 species